rnacentral:rRNA from 1 species
AUUGAACGCUGGCGGCAGGCCUAACACAUGCAAGUCGAACGAGUGGCGGACGGGUGAGUAAUGUCUGGGAAACUGCCUGAUGGAGGGGGAUAACUACUGGAAACGGUAGCUAAUACCGCAUACCAUCGGAUGUGCCCAGAUGAGAUUAGCUAGUAGGUGGGGUAACGGCUCACCUAGGCGACGAUCCCUAGCUGGUCUGAGAGGAUGAACAGCCACACUGGAACAGAGACACGUUCCAGACUCCUACAGGAGGCAGCAGCGGCGAAGAUUGCAUGAUGGGGGCAAUCCUGAUGCAGCCAUGCCGCGUGUAUGAAGAAGCGCUGCGGGUUGGAAAGUACUUUCAGCGGUGAGGCGUGGUCCGCAGAAGAAGCACCGGCUAACUACGUGCCAGCAGCCGCGUAAUAC